UUAUGUUUAUAUCAACGUUAUAAAUAAGGGUCUCACUCUACAUUAUAAAAGUACAUCUAUUAUUUACCUCAACGAAGAAAGAGAAAAAUACACCACUUCAGAUUUCAAGAGUUUGGGUCUUCUUUUCCUUCUCCUCACGACUCUAUUUUCCCUCAGCCAAGCAAGCAGAGACAUACCAGAGUUAGGAGAGGAAAUUGCUUCGGGCAGCAGCAAUAUUUACUUUCCAGGUUGCCGCCCAAGAACAUGUGAAGGAAUAGGAAAAUGUUGGUGUUGCGUUUACGAAAAAGACAUGUACCAUGGAUGUGCCAAGGAGAAGGAUGGAUGUAUAUCUAGAUGCCAUAAACCACCACAAAGGGCUUAAUUAUUAACAAUUAGCAAUACUUAUUUCUAUCCAAGAUUAAUGGUAGUAAAGUAUCCUUACUCAUCAUCCAUAUUAGCUAGCAUGUAAUGCAGCUCAAUGUUAUCAAUAAAAGGGAAAAUUCCCUUAAGAAGAUGUAAUGAUUUUUGAAUAAACGAGGUGUGUUAUGAUUUUUGGUA